GUUUGAUUACACAGCAGAUCUUUCCUCAAGUUAAUAAUUUCAACUUAACUGUGUUACUUUACUGAGGAAGAAAGGUGUUUGAUUCACACAAAACAGUAUCAGGAUAGAUAAGCAAUUGCUUCUCACCACGGACUGCCACUACAAGGAAAGAACCCUUCCAAGAGAAAGAGUGCAGAAACCUAAAACAGUGAACUAAUAUGAUGUCAAUGAAAGCCUGAAAUGGCUGUGUGAGGUCUGAAAGAGGCUGCAGAGGGAAUGCACCCCAUUAUCCAUAACACCGUUGUCCUAUGGGAGUAAGGAUUGAGUUACUAUUUCAACUUCCUGAUAAUCUUUGAACUCCAGCUCAGCCCUAAAUUAUUUCCUUGUCAUCAGACAACUGCAGUUAUGAAGAGCAGUGGUUACUGCAGGAG
ensembl:lncRNA